rnacentral:lncRNA from 1 species
GCCACCUUCCCCUCUCCCCUGGGAGCCAAGAGUCUAGACUGGGCCACCAGCCCAUACCCCUAGUCCUGGCAGCACUGAUUCCCCACCAGAACUGAGCUCAUUGGGGGAUGACCCAAGAAAGCACUGUAAUUGACACUUAGCGAUUUUCUACUCUUCGGACCCGGGGCCAUGGAGCCUUGAGUAGAGUUGUUUUUUUUAAAUCAGCAUAUCAACUUAUUUUCUCUUCUACCCCAAUUCCUUCCCUGCUAUUCUCUACACUCCAGGAACUCACCAGCAGGGAGCAGGCCGCAGCUAAUUUUGGUACCACUUAAGGGUUGCCCAUUCUGGCCCCCCUUCUACUCUCUCACCCUCAAAUCUUUGUAUCUGGAGUGUUUUCUUCCAAGAAGCUGCAACACCCAAGGUUGGUAACUCUCAUAA